rnacentral:tRNA from 1 species
UCCCUCGAUAGCUCAGUUGGCAGAGCGGAGGACUGUAGAUGUUACAACGGUGAUCCUUAGGUCGCUGGUUCAAAUAUUUCUAAAUAAGGGAG